rnacentral:rRNA from 1 species
UACAGAGGGUGCGAGCGUUAAUCGGAAUUACUGGGCGUAAAGCGUGCGUAGACGGUUCUGUAAGUCGGAUGUGAAAUCCCCGGGCUCAACCUGGGAAUUGCAUUCGAGACUGCAAAGCUUGGGUGCGGAAGAGGGAAGCGGAAUUCCCAGUGUAGCGGUGAAAUGCGUAGAUAUCGGGAGGAACACCAGUGGCGAAGGCGAUCAUCUGGGGUUGUUCUGACACUGAGGAGCGAAAGCUAGGGGAGCAAACGGG